GUCUACGGCCAUGCCACCCUGAACGUGCCUGAUUUUGUCUGAUCUCGGAAGCUAACCAGAGUCAGGCCUGAAUAGUACUUGGAUGGGAGACUAUUUAGGACAACCAGGUGCUGUAGGUG
rnacentral:rRNA from 1 species